GACAGAGGGUGGCAAACGUUGUUCGGAAUUACUGGGCGUAAAGCGCGUGUAGGCGGCCAUCUAAGUCGGGCGUGAAAUCCCACGGCUCAACCGUGGAAGUGCACUCGAAACUGGAUGGCUAGAGUCCUGGAGAGGAAGGUGGAAUGCUUGGUGUAGAGGUGAAAUUCGUAGAUAUCAAGCGGAACACCGGUGGCGAAGGCGGCCUUCUGGACAGUGACUGACGCUGAGACGCGAAAGCGGUGGGGAGCGAACGAGG
rnacentral:rRNA from 1 species